GCAGUCUUUAUGAUGAAAUAUGAAUGACCUUGUUUCUCAUAUCUUUAUGUGUAAGUAGGGGUCUUUAACUGAGUGGCUUAAUGUCUUUAAUAUUUUUUGAUAUUACCACGAAGAAAUAUUCAAAAUAAGAAUCAGCUUGGAAAACGCACUGUGAACCUUUCCAAGGUGGAUAGUCACACAGUGGAUUAAAUACGGAGUAAAGGAUGGGAACAACUAGUUCUCCUUGAAGAGGUCC
rnacentral:lncRNA from 1 species